GCGAGAGAAAGCGGGCAGCCGCCGCGAGAGAAAUAUCGAGAGGAAAGGGGGUCCACGCCAGCUGCGAGGUAAAUAUCUCAUCUCUCUCUGCCUCCUCCUCUUCUCCAUGCCGCCGCCGCCUCCUCCUCCCCCGCGACCCUGCCUCCUCCUUUCCUUUCCUCGAUGUCGAUGGCGGCACGGGGGAGCUCGUGGUCAGGCGGAGUCCUUUCCCGCGUCCAUCCCGGCGGGGCCGGCGACCUGCAGCCAAAGGGUGACGGCGGCUAGGAGACAGAGAAUAUGAGAGGGGGAGAGAAGAGGAAGGGGGCGAGGGAGAAAGAGAGAGGUUGCUGCGCGGGGUGGUUUCGGAUUGGGUGCAGGUCGCGGCCAUGGGCGAGCAGGGGUGCUGUGGUUUUUGUGAUGGGAUCCGACAAGGUGCGGCUGGUGGUGGGGCCCCAUGGGGCGCGGUGGCCACCGCACGGGAAUGGGGGCUACUACCGGGUGCUGGUGCGGAGCGACCUCCAGCGGCAGAAGCCGGCGACAUCUUCUCUCCCGGCAACGGUUUCGGCUGGUGCGUCACGCUCGCUCCCCCGCCUCGGCGGCUCGGCCGUCGGGUCUUGCUGCAUUCCUCAGCACCUUUUACUGUUGCAUUUGGCCAGUGACAAGUUCUGUGAAAAGAAUUGCUACAUUGUUAUUACAGUAACUGCUGACAUUGAGAUCUUGGCUGCUACUUGUAUGUACCAGUUCAGGAACUCGUAUUAUGCGUUACUACAAUCAGCCAAGUGAUUUGUUUUCUAAUUUUUAGUAUCAUGUUGUCCUUAAACUUGAGAUUUCUGCAGCGUUUCCUUUAAACUACGGCUCUCUGUUAUUCUAUCAAGGUACUAUUCUAACCUCUGUAUUAGAGAGAAUUGUUCUUUGACGCCAAGGAAUUUUUCUUGUUAAUAACAAUCAUAAUUCUCUGUUACUUUUUUCAGUGCUAGCGUCCCGCAACCUUAAAGCCCACAGCCGACCAACAGAUGCAACAUAGAUAAAAAGGUGUUCAUAGGAUAGUUCAAACUGGAACUGAAGCCGAUCUAUUCUUGUCCCAUGAAAACCUAGCUUUAUUCCAUUUCCACCGUCUGAUUUCGUCAUGGAAGCAUGGGGAUGGAUGUUUGAAAAUGUGCAUAAUAUGUGACAUCUUUGCCCAUGUGCAUUUCAUACAAAAAGAGGUCACAAUAGAGCUGAGCCGCCACAAAAGAGUUUUGUUGAGCUUAGAGAUAUGGAUCCUUGUGAAACAGAGGAGAAGGUCCGGUCCUCAACCCCUUUGAAAAAACUAUAAGCAGCGGCCAUACAGUUCAGAACAGACUUAAUCUGAUCGACAAAGUGUAAAAAGCCAAGUCUUGCUCGACAAAGUGUAAAAAGCCAGGGUAUCAUUUAUAUAGUUAUUUGGAAUGCAUGGUUAGGAAUUAGAGGUCCUCUGGUGCCUCUAAUGUCGCUCAGCUUGCACGUGGGAUUACAAAUGGCCAUAGGUUGCCCACUGCAACAGCCUUGUUGUUUUCUUGUAGCAAGGGACUACCAAAGAAGAAGAGAUGAUGCGGGUUCAGAAUCUGACAAUAUCUGUGUUAGUGCUGGCAGAUCCAAAGACAGAAAGAAACAGACAGUUUCACACACUAGCAACCGUAGGAUCAUUUUCAAAAAGCCUACCGUGAUGGAAAAAAUCAGAAUCCCAACAAAAGUGCUUUUCGAUGCUAUGAUGCAGCAGCUAGGUCUCCCAAAUGCAGUGUACUCAAUACAGAAGGCAAGAGCAAUUGGUCUUCAUACAACUAUUCACUUCUAUCCCUCCAAGUAUCAACUGGAUAACAAAUCUUCCAGGAUAGUCAAUAUCAAUCCAUGUAGCCAACAAACUAUAAGAUGUUGAAGACCAACUAGCAAACGAAGCUCUCAAGUACAUGAAAAGCAUCCAUAGUAAAGUGCUACAGGACAUAAACUACGACAACAUGCAGCUGCUCCAGCAAAAGUGUGAACCUCUUGAGCAUCAGCAGAAAGGAAAACACAACCUAAUAUACUAUUUUAGCAACAGCUGGUGCCAUAGCCUCGGUGGAGAUCACAUGCCAGUGAAGGAACUUUACUAUAUAAUAGAUAGCAACUUCACAGCCGGAUCAACAUCCAAAGACAAUGAUCUGAAUCAUAUUUUGUCGCAAGUAAGAUAUGUUGUUGAUCGUCUCAGUGAUACAGCCACACAAUCAGAUUAUGAUCUCCAAUAGACAAACAAGUACUAUUGGAGCCAGGAUGAUGAUGUUGAAGGAAUUUCUGCUAUGAACAAUGAAAACAUUCAAUCGCAACCACUAUGAACAAUUGCCUGAACGCCGAUGAAACAUCCACCAAUCACACUGGAUAUGCAUGCCGAUGAAACAUCCACCAAUCACACUGGAGAUGUAUCUCUGCCUAUCUACCUUCCUUCCUAAUAGCAUUGUAAAUAUUCCAUCUGCCUAUCUACCUUCCUUCUUAAUAGCAUUGUAAAUAUUCCAUCGUAAGCUUCU